rnacentral:rRNA from 1 species
GCUGGGCUAGCGAUAAUAAUGCAGUCGAGCGGACCAAAUCGGAGCUUGCUCUGAUUUGGUCAGCGGCGGACGGGUGAGUAACACGUGGGCAACCUGCCCGCAAGACCGGGAUAACUCCGGGAAACCGGAGCUAAUACCGGAUAACACCGAAGACCGCAUGGUCUUUGGUUGAAAGGCGGCCUUUGGCUGUCACUUGCGGAUGGGCCCGCGGCGCAUUAGCUAGUUGGUGAGGUAACGGCUCACCAAGGCGACGAUGCGUAGCCGGCCUGAGAGGGUGACCGGCCACACUGGGACUGAGACACGGCCCAGACUCCUACGGGAGGCAGCAGUAGGGAAUCUUCCGCAAUGGGCGAAAGCCUGACGGAGCGACGCCGCGUGAGCGAAGAAGGCCUUCGGGUCGUAAAGCUCUGUUGUGAGGGACGAAGGGGCGCCGUUCGAAGAGGGCGGCGCGGUGACGGUACCUCACGAGGAAGCCCCGGCUAACUACGUGCCAGCAGCCGCGGUAAUACGUAGGGGGCGAGCGUUGUCCGGAAUUAUUGGGCGUAAAGCGCGCGCAGGCGGUCCCUUAAGUCUGAUGUGAAAGCCCACGGCUCAACCGUGGAGGGUCAUUGGAAACUGGGGGACUUGAGUGCAGGAGAGGAGAGCGGAAUUCCACGUGUAGCGGUGAAAUGCGUAGAGAUGUGGAGGAACACCAGUGGCGAAGGCGGCUCUCUGGCCUGCAACUGACGCUGAGGCGCGAAAGCGUGGGGAGCAAACAGGGAUUAGAUACCCUGGUAGUCCACGCCGGUAAACGAUGAGUGCUAAGUGUUAGAGGGGUCACACCCUUUUGUGCUGCAGCUAGCGCGAAAGCACUCCGCCUGGGGAGUACGGGCCGCAAGGCUGAAACUCAAGAAUUGGCCGGGGCCCGCACAAGCGGUGGACCAUG